rnacentral:rRNA from 1 species
UACGGAGGGUGCAAACGUUGCUCGGAAUCAUUGGGCGUAAAGCGCACGUAGGCGGUUCGUUAUGUCAGAUGUGAAAGCCCUUGGCUUAACCGAGGAAGUGCAUCCGAAACUGGCGAGCUAGAGUACUAAAGAGGAUCGCGGAAUUCCCGGUGUAGAGGUGAAAUUCGUAGAUAUCGGGAGGAACACCGGUGGCGAAGGCGGCGAUCUGGGUAGAUACUGACGCUGAGGUGCGAAAGCGUGGGGAGCAAACAGG